CGAUUGAGUUUGAUCCUGGCUCAGGAUGAACGCUGGCGGCGUGCCUAACACAUGCAAGUCGAACGGGGACAGACGGAAACCUAGUGAAGUCUGUCCGAGUGGCGGACGGGUGAGUAACGCGUGGAUAACCUGCCGCAUGCAGGGGGAUACCGGCUGGAAACAGCCGCUAAUACCGCAUAAGCGCACGGUGCCGCAUGGCAGAGUGCGAAAAGGAGAAAUCCGGCAAGCGAUGGAUCCGCGUCCGAUUAGCCAGUUGGCGGGGUAAUGGCCCACCAAAGCGACGAUCGGUAGCCGGCCUGAGAGGGCGGACGGCCACAUUGGGACUGAGACACGGCCCAGACUCCUACGGGAGGCAGCAGUGGGGGAUAUUGCACAAUGGGGGAAACCCUGAUGCAGCGACGCCGCGUGGGUGAAGAAGUAUUUCGGUAUGUAAAGCCCUAUCAGCAGGGAAGAAAGAAGACGGUACCUGACUAAGAAGCCCCGGCUAACUACGUGCCAGCAGCCGCGGUAAUACGUAGGGGGCGAGCGUUAUCCGGAUUCACUGGGUGUAAAGGGAGCGUAGACGGCCGUGCAAGCCAGGAGUGAAAGCCCGGGGCCCAACCCCGGGACUGCUCUUGGAACUGUGCGGCUGGAGUGCGGGAGGGGCAGGC
rnacentral:rRNA from 1 species